GAUCAUACGUUGAAACACCGGUUCCUGUAUAAUCACCGAAGUUAAGCAAUGUCGAGCCUGUUCAGUAUAUUUUAUGGGUGACCACAUGGGAAUACCAGGCGCUGUAAG